UAGAGUUUGAUCAUGGCUCAGAUUGAACGCUGGCGGCAGGCCUAACACAUGCAAGUCGAGCGGUAACAGGAAUUAGCUUGCUAAUUCGCUGACGAGCGGCGGACGGGUGAGUAAUGCCUGGGAAUAUGCCUUAGUGUGGGGGAUAACUAUUGGAAACGAUAGCUAAUACCGCAUAAUGUCUUCGGACCAAAGAGGGGGACCUUCGGGCCUCUCGCGCUAAGAUUAGCCCAGGUGAGAUUAGCUAGUUGGUGAGGUAAGAGCUCACCAAGGCGACGAUCUCUAGCUGGUCUGAGAGGAUGAUCAGCCACACUGGAACUGAGACACGGUCCAGACUCCUACGGGAGGCAGCAGUGGGGAAUUUUGCACAAUGGGCGCAGGCCUGAAGCAGCCAUGCCGCGUGUAUGAAGAAGGCCUUCGGGUUGUAAAGUACUUUCAGUGGGGAGGAAGGUGUUGUCGUUAAUAGCGGCAGCAUUUGACGUUACCCACAGAAGAAGCACCGGCUAACUCCGUGCCAGCAGCCGCGGUAAUACGGAGGGUGCGAGCGUUAAUCGGAAUUACUGGGCGUAAAGCGCAUGCAGGUGGUUCAUUAAGUCAGAUGUGAAAGCCCGGGGCUCAACCUCGGAACCGCAUUUGAAACUGGUGAACUAGAGUGCUGUAGGGGGGGGUAGAAUUUCA
rnacentral:rRNA from 1 species